AAUCUGGUGGAGAAAUUUGAGCUGAUUGCAACCACAGGAAAAAAUGCUAAAAUGCCAAUU
rfam:Bacteroidetes bacterium RBG_19FT_COMBO_42_7 rbg_19ft_combo_scaffold_7404, whole genome shotgun sequence.